rnacentral:rRNA from 1 species
CAGACGGUCCAAACGUUAUUCGGAAUCACGUGGGCUUAAAGAGUUCGUAGGCGGUCAGGAAAGUGGGGUGUGAAAGCCCUCGGCUUAACCGAGGAAUUGCGCUCCAAACUCCCUGACUUGAGGAGGCUAGAGGUAAGCGGAACUGAUGGUGGAGCGGUGAAAUGCGUUGAUAUCAUCAGGAACACCGGAGGCGAAGGCGGCUUACUGGGGCCUUUCUGACGCUGAGGAACGAAAGCUAGGGGAGCGAACGGGAUUAGAUACCCCGGUAGUCCUAGCCGUAAACGGUGAGCACUGGGCCGGAGUUCUGCAUAGGAUUUCGGCCGUAGCGAAAGUGUUAAGUGCUCCGCCUGGGGAGUAUGGUCGCAAGGCUG